ACCAAGGCGAUGAUACGUAGCCGACCUGAGAGGGUAAUCGGCCACAUUGGGACUGAGACACGGCCCAGACUCCUACGGGAGGCAGCAGUAGGGAAUCUUCCACAAUGGACGAAAGUCUGAUGGAGCAACGCCGCGUGAGUGAAGAAGGGUUUCGGCUCGUAAAACUCUGUUGUUAAAGAAGAACAAGUGUAAGAGUAACUGUUUACGCUUUGACGGUAUUUAACCAGAAAGCCACGGCUAACUACGUGCCAGCAGCCGCGGUAAUACGUAGGUGGCAAGCGUUGUCCGGAUUUAUUGGGCGUAAAGCGAGCGCAGGUGGUUCUUUAAGUCUGUUGUGAAAGCCCUCAGCUCAACUGAGGAAGUGCAGCGGAAACUAAAGGACUUGAGUACAGAAGAGGAUAGUGGAACUCCAUGUGUAGCGGUGAAAUGCGUAGAUAUAUGGAAGAACACCAGUGGCGAAGGCGGCUAUCUGGUCUGUUACUGACACUGAGGCUCGAAAGCAUGGGUAGCGAACAGGAUUAGAUACCCUGGUAGUCCAYGCYGUAAACGAUGARURCUARGUGUUGGRRGGUUUCCGCCYYUCAGUGCYGCAGCUAACGCAUUAAGYACUCCGCCUGGGGAGUACGACCGCAAGGUURAAACUCAAAGGAAUUGACGGGGGCCCGCACAAGCGGUGGAGCAUGUGGUUUAAUUCGAWGCAACGCGAAGAACCUUACCWGGUCUUGACAUCUWSUGMCARCCYWAGAGAUWRGGYGUUYCCUUCGGGRACASWAWGACAGGUGSUGCAUGGYUGUCGUCAGCUCGUGUCGUGAGAUGUUGGGUUAAGUCCCGCAACGAGCGCAACCCUUAUUAUUAGUUGCCAGCAUUAAGUUGGGCACUCUAGUGAGACUGCCGGUGAUAAACCGGAGGAAGGUGGGGAUGACGUCAAAUCAUCAUGCCCCUUAUGACCUGGGCUACACACGUGCUACAAUGGAUGGUACAACGAGUYGCGAAACCGCGAGGUCAAGCUAAUCUCUUAAAGCCAUUCUCAGUUCGGAUUGCAGGCUGCAACUCGCCUGCAUGAAGUUGGAAUCACUAGUAAUCGUGGAUCAGCAUGCCACGGUGAAUACGUUCCCGGGCCUUGUACACACCGCCCGUCACACCAUGAGAGUUUGUAACACCCAAAGACGAUGGAGUAACCUUCGGGAGCUAGUUGUCUAAGGUGGGACAGAUGAUUAGGGUGAAGUCGUAACAAGGUAGCCGUAGGAGAACCUGCGGCUGGAUCACCUCCUUUCUAAGGA
rnacentral:rRNA from 1 species